GACGGGUGAGUAAUGCCUAGGAAUCUGCCUGGUAGUGGGGGACAACGUUUCGAAAGGAACGCUAAUACCGCAUACGUCCUACGGGGGGAAAGCAGGGGACCUUCGGGCCUUGCGCUAUCAGAUGAGCCUAGGUCGGAUUAGCUAGUUGGUGAGGUAAUGGCUCACCAAGGCUGCGAUCCGUAACUGGUCUGAGAGGAUGAUCAGUCACACUGGAACUGAGACACGGUCCAGACUCCUACGGGAGGCAGCAGUGGGGAAUAUUGGACAAUGGGCGAAAGCCUGAUCCAGCCAUGCCGCGUGUGUGAAGAAGGUCUUCGGAUUGUAAAGCACUUUAAGUUGGGAGGAAGGGCAGUAAGUUAAUACCUUGCUGUUUUGACGUUACCGACAGAAUAAGCACCGGCUAACUCCGUGCCAGCAGCCGCGGUAAUACGGAGGGUGCAAGCGUUAAUCGGAAUUACUGGGCGUAAAGCGCACGCAGGCGGUUUGUUAAGUCAGAUGUGAAAUCCCCGGGCUCAACCUGGGAACUGCAUCUGAUACUGGCGAGCUAGAGUAUGGCAGAGGGUGGUGGAAUUUCCUGUGUAGCGGUGAAAUGCGUAGAUAUAGGAAGGAACACCAGUGGCGAAGGCGGCUUUCUGGUCUAUCUCUGACGCUGAGGAGCGAAAGCUAGGGGAGCAAACGGGAUUAGAUACCCCGGUAGUCCUAGCCGUAAACGAUGGAUACUAGGUGUGGGAGGUAUCGACCCCUUCUGUGCCGCAGCUAACGCAUUAAGUAUCCCGCCUGGGGAGUACGGUCGCAAGGCUG
rnacentral:rRNA from 1 species